rnacentral:rRNA from 1 species
GACGAACGCUGGCGGCGUGCUUAACACAUGCAAGUCGAACGGAAAGGCCCUGCUUUUGUGGGGUGCUCGAGUGGCGAACGGGUGAGUAACACGUGAGUAACCUGCCCUUGACUUUGGGAUAACUUCAGGAAACUGGGGCUAAUACCGGAUAGGAGCUCCUGCUGCAUGGCGGGGGUUGGAAAGUUUCGGCGGUUGGGGAUGGACUCGCGGCUUAUCAGCUUGUUGGUGGGGUAGUGGCUUACCAAGGCUUUGACGGGUAGCCGGCCUGAGAGGGUGACCGGCCACAUUGGGACUGAGAUACGGCCCAGACUCCUACGGGAGGCAGCAGUGGGGAAUAUUGCACAAUGGGCGGAAGCCUGAUGCAGCAACGCCGCGUGCGGGAUGACGGCCUUCGGGUUGUAAACCGCUUUCGCCUGUGACGAAGCGUGAGUGACGGUAAUGGGUAAAGAAGCACCGGCUAACUACGUGCCAGCAGCCGCGGUGAUACGUAGGGUGCGAGCGUUGUCCGGAUUUAUUGGGCGUAAAGGGCUCGUAGGUGGUUGAUCGCGUCGGAAGUGUAAUCUUGGGGCUUAACCCUGAGCGUGCUUUCGAUACGGGUUGACUUGAGGAAGGUAGGGGAGAAUGGAAUUCCUGGUGGAGCGGUGGAAUGCGCAGAUAUCAGGAGGAACACCAGUGGCGAAGGCGGUUCUCUGGGCCUUUCCUGACGCUGAGGAGCGAAAGCGUGGGGAGCGAACAGGCUUAGAUACCCUGGUAGUCCACGCUGUAAACGGUGGGUACUAGGUGUGGGGUCCAUUCCACGGGUUCCGUGCCGUAGCUAACGCUUUAAGUACCCCGCCUGGGGAGUACGGCCGCAAGGCUAAAACUCAAAGGAAUUGACGGGGCCCCGCACAAGCGGCGGAGCAUGCGGAUUAAUUCGAUGCAACGCGUAGAGCCUUACCUGGGUUUGACAUGGAUCGGGAGCGCUCAGAGAUGGGUGUGCCUCUUUUGGGGUCGGUUCACAGGUGGUGCAUGGCUGUCGUCAGCUCGUGUCGUGAGAUGUUGGGUUAAGUCCCGCAACGAGCGCAACCCUUGUUCACUGUUGCCAGCACGUUAUGGUGGGGACUCAGUGGAGACCGCCGGGGUCAACUCGGAGGAAGGUGGGGAUGACGUCAAGUCAUCAUGCCCCUUAUGUCCAGGGCUUCACGCAUGCUACAAUGGCUGGUACAGAGAGUGGCGAGCCUGUGAGGGUGAGCGAAUCUCGGAAAGCCGGUCUCAGUUCGGAUUGGGGUCUGCAACUCGACCUCAUGAAGUCGGAGUCGCUAGUAAUCGCAGAUCAGCAACGCUGCGGUGAAUACGUUCCCGGG